rnacentral:rRNA from 1 species
GUGGGGAAUAUUCCGCAAUGGACGAAAGUCUGACGGAGCAACGCCGCGUGAGUGAUGAAGGUUUUCGGACUGUAAAGCUCUGUUGUUUAGGACGAAAGUGCCUGUUGCAAAUAGUUACAGGUAUUGACGGUACUGAACGAGGAAGCCACGGCUAACUACGUGCCAGCAGCCGCGGUAAUACGUAGGUGGCAAGCGUUGUCCGGAAUUAUUGGGCGUAAAGAGCAUGUAGGCGGGAAUCUAAGUCUGUUGUGAAAAUGCGGGGCUCAACCCCGUAUUGCGAUGGAAACUGGGUUUCUUGAGUGCAGGAGAGGAAAGGGGAAUUCCCAGUGUAGCGGUGAAAUGCUUAGAUAUUGGGAGGAACACCAGUGGCGAAGGCGCCUUUCUGGACUGUGUCUGACGCUGAGAUGCGAAAGCCAGGGUAGCGAACGGGAUUAGAUACCCGUGUAGUCC